rnacentral:rRNA from 1 species
AGUAACACGUGGGAACGUGCCUUUAGGUUCGGAAUAACUCAGGGAAACUUGUGCUAAUACCGAAGGUGCCCUUCGGGGGAAAGAUUUAUCGCCUUUAGAGCGGCCCGCGUCUGAUUAGCUAGUUGGUGAGGUAAAGGCUCACCAAGGCGACGAUCAGUAGCUGGUCUGAGAGGAUGAUCAGCCACAUUGGGACUGAGACACGGCCCAAACUCCUACGGGAGGCAGCAGUGGGGAAUCUUGCGCAAUGGGCGAAAGCCUGACGCAGCCAUGCCGCGUGAAUGAUGAAGGUCUUAGGAUUGUAAAAUUCUUUCACCGGGGACGAUAAUGACGGUACCCGGAGAAGAAGCCCCGGCUAACUUCGUGCCAGCAGCCGCGGUAAUACGAAGGGGGCUAGCGUUGCUCGGAAUUACUGGGCGUAAAGGGAGCGUAGGCGGACAUUUAAGUCAGGGGUGAAAUCCCGGGGCUCAACCUCGGAAUUGCCUUUGAUACUGGGUGUCUUGAGUAUGAGAGAGGUGUGUGGAACUCCGAGUGUAGAGGUGAAAUUCGUAGAUAUUCGGAAGAACACCAGUGGCGAAGGCGACACACUGGCUCAUUACUGACGCUGAGGCUCGAAAGCGUGGGGAGCAAACAGGAUUAGAUACCCUGGUAGUCCACGCCGUAAACGAUGAUUGCUAGUUGUCGGGAUGCAUGCAUUUCGGUGACGCAGCUAACGCAUUAAGCAAUCCGCCUGGGGAGUACGGUCGCAAGAUUAAAACUCAAAG